rnacentral:tRNA from 3 species
GGGGAUAUGGCGAAAUUGGUAGACGCUACGGACUUAAAAAAUCCGUCGACUUUUAAAAUCGUGAGGGUUCAAGUCCCUCUA